CGGAAUGGGUCCAAAGACUCUUAAAACCUACCGUGCUUCCCCUACGUGGGACAACAGGAAAGCCCCUCCGGGGCAUCGGAAAUCUGAGAAGUUUGAUGAAACUGCGCCCCGGCGCAUGACUUAAGAAAAAAUUACAACCCA
rnacentral:misc_RNA from 1 species